GACGGAGGAGGCAAGCGUUGUCCGGAAUCAUUGGGCGUAAAGAGCGCGUAGGCUGUUUUUCAAGUCGUAUGUGAAAACCUCAGGCUCAACUUGAGGAUUGCAUAUGAAGCUGGAUAACUUGAGUGCAGUAGGGGAAAGCGGAAUUCCUGGUGUAGCGGUGAAAUGCGCAGAUAUCAGGAAGAACACCAGUAGCGAAGGCGGCUUUCUGGGCUGCUACUGACGCUGAGGCGCGAAAGCUAGGGGAGUAAACAGG
rnacentral:rRNA from 1 species